UACGGAGGAUGCAAGCGUUAUCCGGAAUGAUUGGGCGUAAAGCGUCCGCAGGUGGCUGUGUAAGUCUGCUGUUAAAGAGUCUAGCUCAACUAGAUACAAGCAGUGGAAACUACAAGGCUAGAGUACGUUCGGGGCAGAGGGAAUUCCUGGUGUAGCGGUGAAAUGCGUAGAGAUCAGGAAGAACACCGGUGGCGAAGGCGCUCUGCUAGGCCGUAACUGACACUGAGGGACGAAAGCUAGGGGAGCGAAUGGG
rnacentral:rRNA from 1 species